rnacentral:misc_RNA from 1 species
AACGCACCUUGCGCCCCUUGGUAUUCCGAGGGGCAUGCCUGUUUGAGUGUCAUUAAAUUAUCAACCAUUUGCUAACAUGUAAGUGGCUUGGAUGUGGGGGUUUUGCUGGUUUCAAAAUAAAUCUGCUCCUCUCAAAAUUAUUAGCUGGUGCCGCAUUUGUGGGUCCUUCUAUUGGUGUGAUAAUUAUCUACGCUAUUAGAUGGAUCUGUUUUCAUAAGGCUGGUGCUGCUUUCUAAUUGUCUUCUUGAAGAGACAAUAUUUGACUAUUUGACCUCAAAUCAGGUAGGACUACCCGCUGAACUUAA